CCUACGGGAGGCAGCAGUGGGGGAUAUUGCACAAUGGGGGGAACCCUGAUGCAGCGACGCCGCGUGGGUGAAGAAGCGCCUCGGCGCGUAAAGCCCUGUCAGCAGGGAAGAAAAUGACGGUACCUGAAGAAGAAGCCCCGGCUAACUACGUGCCAGCAGCCGCGGUAAUACGUAGGGGGCAAGCGUUAUCCGGAUUUACUGGGUGUAAAGGGGGCGCAGACGGCGAUGCAAGCCAGGAGUGGAAGCCCGGGGACCAACCCCGUGACUGCUCUUGGAACGGCGUGGCUGGAGUGCAGGAGGGGCAGGCGGAAUUCCUGGUGUAGCGGUGAAAUGCGUAGAUAUCAGGAGGAACACCGGUGGCGAAGGCGGCCUGCUGGACUGCAACUGAAGUUGAGGCCCGAAAGCGUGGGGAGCAAACAGGAUUAGAUACCCUUGUAGUC
rnacentral:rRNA from 1 species